rnacentral:rRNA from 1 species
GUAGGCCUAACACAUGCAAGUCGAACGGCAGCACAGGAGAGCUUGCUCUCUGGGUGGCGAGUGGCGGACGGGUGAGUAAUGCGUAGGAAGCUGCCCGAUAGAGGGGGAUACCAGUUGGAAACGACUGUUAAUACCGCAUAAUGUCUACGGACCAAAGUGUGGGACCUUCGGGCCACAUGCUAUCGGAUGCGCCUACGUGGGAUUAGCUAGUUGGUGAGGUAAUGGCUCACCAAGGCGACGAUCUCUAGCUGGUUUGAGAGGAUGAUCAGCCACACUGGAACUGAGACACGGUCCAGACUCCUACGGGAGUCAGCAGUGGGGAAUAUUGGACAAUGGGCGCAAGCCUGAUCCAGCCAUGCCGCGUGUGUGAAGAAGGCCUUCGGGUUGUAAAGCACUUUCAGCGAGGAGGAAGGGUGGUGUGUUAAUAGCACAUCAUUUUGACGUUACUCGCAGAAGAAGCACCGGCUAACUCUGUGCCAGCCGCCGCCGUAA